GAUGAACGCUGGCGGCGUGCCUAAUACAUGCAAGUCGAGCGAACGGACGAGAAUCUUGCUUUUCUGAUGUUAGCGGCGGACGGGUGAGUAACACGUGGAUAACCUACCUAUAAGACUGGGAUAACGUCGGGAAACCGGAGCUAGUACCGGAUAAUAUUUUGAACCGCAUGGUUCAAAAGUGAAAGACGGUCUUGCUGUCACUUAUAGAGGGAUCCGCGCUGCAUUAGCUAGUUGGUAAGGUAACGGCUUACCAAGGCAACGAUGCAUAGCCGACCUGAGAGGGUGAUCAGCCACACUGGAACUGAGACACGGUCCAGACUCCUACGGGAGGCAGCAGUAGGGAAUCUUCCGCAAUGGGCGAAAGCCUGACGGAGCCACGCCGCGUGUGUGAUGAAGGUCUUCGGAUUGUAAAACUCUGUUAUUAGGGAAGAACAUAUGUGUAAGUAACUGUGCACAUCUUGACGGUACCUAAUCAGAAAGCCACGGCUAACUACGUG
rnacentral:rRNA from 1 species